rnacentral:rRNA from 1 species
AGGAAUGUGUCCAGAGGUGGGGGACAACCUUGGGAAACUGAGGCUACUACCGCAUAUGAGCUGAGGCUCAAAGCAGCGAUGCGCCUUUGGAGUAGCCUGCGUCCGAUUAGCUAGUUGGUGGGGUAAAGGCCUACCAAGGCGACGAUCGGUAGCUGGUCUGAGAGGACGACCAGCCACACUGGGACUGAGACACGGCCCAGACUCCUACGGGAGGCAGCAGUGGGGAAUAUUGGACAAUGGGCGCAAGCCUGAUCCAGCAAUGCCGCGUGUGUGAAGAAGGUCUUCGGAUCGUAAAGCACUUUCGACGGGGACGAUGAUGACGGUACCCGUAGAAGAAGCCCCGGCUAACUUCGUGCCAGCAGCCGCGGUAAUACGAAGGGGGCUAGCGUUACUCGGAAUUACUGGGCGUAAAGGGCGCGUAGGCGGCGCUCCAAGUUAGGCGUGAAAGUCCUGGGCUCAACCUGGGAACUGCGCUUAAGACUGGAGUGCUUGAGGAUGGAAGAGGGUCGUGGAAUUCCCAGU